rnacentral:ncRNA from 1 species
AGGCCAGCCGCCCGGUGGUGUGGUACGUAGUGGUAAUAGUACGCGCCCCGCUCCGAAACAAAGAAAAAGGUGCGUGCCGCACUCACGAGGGACUGCCAGUGAGAUACUGGAGGAAGGUGGGGAUGACGUCAAGUCCGCAUGGCCCUUAUGGGCUGGGCCACACCCGUGCUACAAUGGCAAUGACAAUGGGAAGCAAGGCUGUAAGGCGGAGCGA